rnacentral:rRNA from 1 species
UGGGAAGAAGCUUAACUUGAGGGAAAUUGCCGCGAGGUUAUUACUUUAAUAAUGGUAUACUUAUUUAUAUCUUUUGUAAGAUAUAAUUAUAGCACUAUAAAAAUUUAAUAUUUAUUUGAUAUUUUAUUUAUAAGUAGUUUUUAUGCUAAUAUACAAUAGUUUUUAUUGUUAUUUGUCUUUUAUUUAAACAAAACACCUUUAUUAAGCUAAUUAGUUUCAGUUAACUCAUUUAAGUAACAUCU